rnacentral:rRNA from 1 species
AGUGAACGCUGGCGGUAGGCCUAACACAUGCAAGUCGAACGGCAGCACAGUAAGAGCUUGCUCUUACGGGUGGCGAGUGGCGGACGGGUGAGGAAUACAUCGGAAUCUACUUUUUCGUGGGGGAUAACGUAGGGAAACUUACGCUAAUACCGCAUACGACCUACGGGUGAAAGCAGGGGAUCUUCGGACCUUGCGCGAUUGAUUGAGCCGAUGUCGGAUUAGCUAGUUGGCGGGGUAAAGGCCCACCAAGGCGACGAUCCGUAGCUGGUCUGAGAGGAUGAUCAGCCACACUGGAACUGAGACACGGUCCAGACUCCUACGGGAGGCAGCAGUGGGGAAUAUUGGACAAUGGGCGCAAGCCUGAUCCAGCCAUACCGCGUGAGUGAAGAAGGCCUUCGGGUUGUAAAGCCCUUUUGUUGGGAAAGAAAAGCAGCAGGUUAAUACCCCGCUGUUCUGACGGUACCCAAAGAAUAAGCACCGGCUAACUUCGUG